AGCGUACACGGUGGAUGCCCUGGCAGUCAGAGGCGAUGAAGGACGUGCUAAUCUGCGAUAAGCGUCGGUAAGGUGAUAUGAACCGUUAUAACCGGCGAUUUCCGAAUGGGGAAACCCAGUGUGAUUCGUCACACUAUCAUUAACUGAAUCCAUAGGUUAAUGAGGCGAACCGGGGGAACUGAAACAUCUAAGUACCCCGAGGAAAAGAAAUCAACCGAGAUUCCCCCAGUAGCGGCGAGCGAACGGGGAGCAGCCCAGAGCCUGAAUCAGUGUGUGUGUUAGUGGAAGCGUCUGGAAAGGCGCGCGAUACAGGGUGACAGCCCCGUACACAAAAAUGCACAUGCUGUGAGCUCGAUGAGUAGGGCGGGACACGUGGUAUCCUGUCUGAAUAUGGGGGGACCAUCCUCCAAGGCUAAAUACUCCUGACUGACCGAUAGUGAACCAGUACCGUGAGGGAAAGGCGAAAAGAACCCCGGCGAGGGGAGUGAAAAAGAACCUGAAACCGUGUACGUACAAGCAGUGGGAGCACAGAGCAAUCUGUGUGACUGCGUACCUUUUGUAUAAUGGGUCAGCGACUUAUAUUCUGUAGCAAGGUUAACCGAAUAGGGGAGCCGAAGGGAAACCGAGUCUUAACUGGGCGUUAAGUUGCAGGGUAUAGACCCGAAACCCGGUGAUCUAGCCAUGGGCAGGUUGAAGGUUGGGUAACACUAACUGGAGGACCGAACCGACUAAUGUUGAAAAAUUAGCGGAUGACUUGUGGCUGGGGGUGAAAGGCCAAUCAAACCGGGAGAUAGCUGGUUCUCCCCGAAAGCUAUUUAGGUAGCGCCUCGUGAAUUCAUCUCCGGGGGUAGAGCACUGUUUCGGCAAGGGGGUCAUCCCGACUUACCAACCCGAUGCAAACUGCGAAUACCGGAGAAUGUUAUCACGGGAGACACACGGCGGGUGCUAACGUCCGUCGUGAAGAGGGAAACAACCCAGACCGCCAGCUAAGGUCCCAAAGUCAUGGUUAAGUGGGAAACGAUGUGGGAAGGCCCAGACAGCCAGGAUGUUGGCUUAGAAGCAGCCAUCAUUUAAAGAAAGCGUAAUAGCUCACUGGUCGAGUCGGCCUGCGCGGAAGAUGUAACGGGGCUAAACCAUGCACCGAAGCUGCGGCAGCGACGCUANNNNNNNNNNNNNNNNNNNNNNNNNNNNNNNNNNNNNNNNNNNNNNNNNNNNNNCAUGCUGGAGGUAUCAGAAGUGCGAAUGCUGACAUAAGUAACGAUAAAGCGGGUGAAAAGCCCGCUCGCCGGAAGACCAAGGGUUCCUGUCCAACGUUAAUCGGGGCAGGGUGAGUCGACCCCUAAGGCGAGGCCGAAAGGCGUAGUCGAUGGGAAACAGGUUAAUAUUCCUGUACUUGGUGUUACUGCGAAGGGGGGACGGAGAAGGCUAUGUUGGCCGGGCGACGGUUGUCCCGGUUUAAGCGUGUAGGCUGGUUUUCCAGGCAAAUCCGGAAAAUCAAGGCUGAGGCGUGAUGACGAGGCACUACGGUGCUGAAGCAACAAAUGCCCUGCUUCCAGGAAAAGCCUCUAAGCAUCAGGUAACAUCAAAUCGUACCCCAAACCGACACAGGUGGUCAGGUAGAGAAUACCAAGGCGCUUGAGAGAACUCGGGUGAAGGAACUAGGCAAAAUGGUGCCGUAACUUCGGGAGAAGGCACGCUGAUAUGUAGGUGAAGUCCCUCGCGGAUGGAGCUGAAAUCAGUCGAAGAUACCAGCUGGCUGCAACUGUUUAUUAAAAACACAGCACUGUGCAAACACGAAAGUGGACGUAUACGGUGUGACGCCUGCCCGGUGCCGGAAGGUUAAUUGAUGGGGUUAGCGCAAGCGAAGCUCUUGAUCGAAGCCCCGGUAAACGGCGGCCGUAACUAUAACGGUCCUAAGGUAGCGAAAUUCCUUGUCGGGUAAGUUCCGACCUGCACGAAUGGCGUAAUGAUGGCCAGGCUGUCUCCACCCGAGACUCAGUGAAAUUGAACUCGCUGUGAAGAUGCAGUGUACCCGCGGCAAGACGGAAAGACCCCGUGAACCUUUACUAUAGCUUGACACUGAACAUUGAGCCUUGAUGUGUAGGAUAGGUGGGAGGCUUUGAAGUGUGGACGCCAGUCUGCAUGGAGCCGACCUUGAAAUACCACCCUUUAAUGUUUGAUGUUCUAACGUUGACCCGUGAUCCGGGUUGCGGACAGUGUCUGGUGGGUAGUUUGACUGGGGCGGUCUCCUCCUAAAGAGUAACGGAGGAGCACGAAGGUUGGCUAAUCCUGGUCGGACAUCAGGAGGUUAGUGCAAUGGCAUAAGCCAGCUUGACUGCGAGCGUGACGGCGCGAGCAGGUGCGAAAGCAGGUCAUAGUGAUCCGGUGGUUCUGAAUGGAAGGGCCAUCGCUCAACGGAUAAAAGGUACUCCGGGGAUAACAGGCUGAUACCGCCCAAGAGUUCAUAUCGACGGCGGUGUUUGGCACCUCGAUGUCGGCUCAUCACAUCCUGGGGCUGAAGUAGGUCCCAAGGGUAUGGCUGUUCGCCAUUUAAAGUGGUACGCGAGCUGGGUUUAGAACGUCGUGAGACAGUUCGGUCCCUAUCUGCCGUGGGCGCUGGAGAACUGAGGGGGGCUGCUCCUAGUACGAGAGGACCGGAGUGGACGCAUCACUGGUGUUCGGGUUGUCAUGCCAAUGGCACUGCCCGGUAGCUAAAUGCGGAAGAGAUAAGUGCUGAAAGCAUCUAAGCACGAAACUUGCCCCGAGAUGAGUUCUCCCUGACUCCUUGA
rnacentral:rRNA from 1 species